rnacentral:rRNA from 1 species
GUGAGGAAUUUUGCGCAAUGGGGGAAACCCUGACGCAGCGACGCCGCGUGGAGGACGAAGGCCUUCGGGUCGUAAACUCCUGUCAGAGGUGAAGAAACCCGCAAGGGUUGACGGUAACCUCAAAGGAAGCCCCGGCUAACUACGUGCCAGCAGCCGCGGUAAUACGUAGGGGGCAAACGUUGCUCGGAAUUACUGGGCGUAAAGGGUGCGUAGGCGGCUGGGCAAGUCAAGGAUGAAAUCCCGUGGCUCAACUGCGGAACUGUCCUUGAAACUGCCUAGCUUGAGGAUAGUCGAAGAAAACGGAAUUCCCGGUGGAGCGGUGAAAUGCGUAGAUAUCGGGAGGAACACCAGAGGCGAAAGCGGUUUUCUAUACUACUCCUGACGCUGAGGCACGAAAGCUAGGGGAGCAAACGGGAUUAGAAACCCUUGUAGUCC